GGCUCGUUGGUCAAGAGGUUAAGACACCGCCCUUUCACGGCGGUAACAGGGGUUCGAUUCCCCUACGAGUCACCA
rnacentral:tRNA from 2 species